rnacentral:rRNA from 1 species
UGCCAGCAGUCGCGGUUAAACCAAGGAAUUUAGUCAUUCUUUUAUGGUAAAAAGACAGUUAGGCAAAAAUUAUAUAGUCAUUAGAUCCUUAGUAAAGGAGUAAAAUCUACAUACUAAAAGUUAUACCGAAUAUGAUUUGUUUAAGAUGCUGAAUCUGUGAUAGCUUUAAGGGAAACUGGGAUUGGAUACCCCACUAUUUUUAGUUGUAAAUCUAGUUUAGGCUUACCAGAGUACUACGAAUAAAAAGUUUAAAACUCAAAGGGCUUGGCGGUGUUUUAGACCUCUCAGGGGAACCUGUCUCAUAAUCGACAAUCCACGUUAGACCUAACCUUUAAUAGUAACACAGCCUGUAUACCGUCGUCGUCAGGUAACUUUUAAAAAUACAGCAGUUAGCUCGAGAAUUAUAUUAAUUAAGACGUCAGAUCAAGGUGCAGCUAAUGAAAAGGUGAGGAUGGGUUACAAUUAUAUAUUUAUAACUACAGAAAACACUUGAAAUUAAGUGUCUUAAAGGAGGACUUGAAAGUAAUUUUAAUUAUAUAAGUAAAAUGAAUAGGGCUCUGAAACGUGCACACAUCGCCCGCCACUCU